CCCGGGAAAGGAAGCGGGGCAGGGAGGCCGGGUGGGAGCAGGGGGGUCUCCGGCGCUUCCUCUCCUCUGCGGGCGCCGCGCGGCUCCUGAGAGUCCGCCCCCCGUCCUGACGCUCAGCUAGGAAGCGGGUCCUCGGGCCCCUCCCCCGACACACACACACACACACACACACACACACACACACACACACACUCUCUCUCUCUCUCUCUCUCUCUCUCUCUCUCUCUCUCUCUCUCACACACACACACACACACACAGCCCGUCUCGCGCCUGAGGUCUCGCCCGCAGGCCGGUGGCGCGGGGUCAGCUGCUGCCUGCGGUCCAGGACAGGGUCGGUUCCGCCGCGCAGCGCCCAGGCCCAGCUCGUCCAGAGUCUGCGGACAGCGCACGUCCAGACAUCGCCCACUCGGGCUCACAGUGCCAUCCGGGUGAGGACCUCCGUGGAGAGCUCUCUUUGCCAAAGAAAAGCAGUUGCAUUAGGUCUGCGAGCAGGCAGGGUGGCCUCUUCCUGGCUCCCCAUCCACCAAGGAAGCUUCAAGUCCCUGGGACACAGGCACUUUCCCACACAGGAUGGAGCCGGGCCACCCUCACAGCUCCUGCCCUGCAGACGCUGGCCUUGUGGAGGGAGGCAGGCAGCAGGAGCAGUGCUUUCUGGGCCUCUGUAGCCAGAGCUGGCCCUGCUGCAGCUUACGUCUGCCUGCAGCCCAGACGUCCUCCUGGUCCUCCUGAUGCCCCCGACCUCCACGGAGGACGAGCAUUUCCAGCCCAGCCCUCCCCAUCUUCACCUCGCACUCCCCUGACACACUGGGAGCCUCCUGAUCCGUGAACCCGCGCUGGCGGGAGUAGCUACUGACCGCUGGGGACCCCUGCCCAGGCUGUUCGCAUGUGGAAAGGAUUCAGGGAGCAGGCGAUGCCCAAAGCGUGGAGACCAGCACUGCUCUCUCCCCAGUGACAGGCAGGAGCCCUGGGGCCCCAAGCAGCCAGGGAGGUGAGCACCAAGGACCUCCCAGAGAGCGUCACCUUCCGUCGAGGGAGGCCCAGCCUGGGGGCGGUGUCUGAGACUUGGAAUCAACGCUUCCGUUGGUGGCAGUAAAUCCUGUCCCUAACCCUGCAGUACAGCUGUGCCGUGUACAGGAGGGUGCUGUCUGACGCCAGACACCUGGACUACAGAUCGCAGCCUGAUUCCUGGUCAUUGCUCCACUGAACCCCAGACCCCAGCCUCGUUCUGGGCCCUCAUCCCCUAGAUCCAGGGACCCCAGCCCCAUUUCAGCCCUUGGGCCCUUGUAGGAUGCGAGGCCCUGGGCCCCAGCCCCCAGCCCAUCCGUGGCCCAGGCACUGGGGGGCUGAGGUCCUCUGAGAAGGGACACAGGGCCUGGGGGGCUCUCUCAGCCCAUCAGCAGGAGAGGACUGACUCCAGAAAAAUCAGCGUUUGUACCCACUCAGGCUGCCAAGACCUGUGUCCGUCCUUCCAAGCUCAACCUUCAGAGUUCAUGAGGCCCCUUGCCCAGAAUGUCCACAGAGUUCAUGAGGCCCCUUGCCCGGAAUGUCCACAUUUGAAACCUCCCAACACCGAGCCCCAUUUCAAGUAUAACCAGGAGGGAAAAUGGUGCUUGAAAUAAGCAUGCCACAAAGGAAAACCUGCUUUCUCGAAAUGGGCCCUGGCCGCCCAGGCCCUGACCUCCCCGGCCAGGAUGGAACGUUCCAGAGACCCAUUAGUGCCAAAGGCAAAUGAAAACACACCCUGUGAAAAUGUC
ensembl:lncRNA CEROX1 cytoplasmic endogenous regulator of oxidative phosphorylation 1